rnacentral:lncRNA from 1 species
GGCAGAACCCUCCUGUUUAUAUUUACUUCCUUGGGUAUAGCAGCACGUAGCGAAUCAAGACUCAGAAACAGCUCUGGGCUUCUCAUAGUUCCCUGAGACAGUCUCACUCUGUUGCCCGUGCUGGAGUACAGUGGCAUUUUCUUGACUUACUGCAGGCUCUGACUCUUGGGUUUAAGCAAUUCUCCUGUUUCAACCUCCUGAGUAGCUGAGAUUACAGGUCAUCACUGCUUUCGCCCACACUCUUUCGAUUUUCCCAUGAUGCUUAAUUGCAGCAUUUACAGAGCAUCCUUCAGAUCCUUCUCCUGGUCCUACCGUAAGUCUUCAUUUUGAUAGGUUGGUGCCCAUAUUGUAGUGUUUAAAUAUUUUGAAAUAUUAGCCAGCC